AACGAACGCUGGCGGCAUGCCUAACACAUGCAAGUCGAACGAGACCUUCGGGUCUAGUGGCGCACGGGUGCGUAACGCGUGGGAACCUGCCCUUAGGUUCGGCAUAACUCCCCGCAAGGGUUGCUAAUACCGGAUAAUGUCUUCGGACCAAAGAUUUAUCGCCUUUGGAUGGGCCCGCGUUGGAUUAGCUAGUUGGUAGGGUAAAAGCCUACCAAGGCGACGAUCCAUAGCUGGUCUGAGAGGAUGAUCAGCCACACUGGGACUGAGACACGGCCCAGACUCCUACGGGAGGCAGCAGUGGGGAAUAGUGGAAAGUGGGCGAAAGCAUGAUCCAGCAAUGCCGCGUGAGUGAUGAAGGCCUUAGGGUUGUAAAGCUCUUUUACCCGGGAUGAUAAUGACAGUACCGGGAGAAUAAGCUCCGGCUAACUCCGUG
rnacentral:rRNA from 1 species